rnacentral:lncRNA from 1 species
AGUAGAAGGAAUGGAAUAACAUUAAUUGCAAAAUACAAACUAUAAGACUUUUCCAAGGAUAACAACAUUGCAGAAAUUCUAGAUUGCUUUGGGUUUGGUGAUGAUUUUUUAGAUAUAACACCAAAAGCACAAUCCAUGAAAGAAAAAAAAUUUAAUAAGUUAGACUUCAUUAAAAUUAAAAUCUUCAGCUUUGUCACAGAUACUGCAAAGAGAAUGUAAAGAUAUCCACUUCCUGAGAGAAAAUCUUUGCAAAAACAUACCUGAUAAAGGAUUGGUAUCCAAAAUAUUCUAAGAACUUUAAAAAUUCAACAAUAAGACAACAGAGAAUCCAAUUAAAAAAUGGGUCAAAGGUUUGAACAGAAUUCGUCAUUGCUGGUAGUGGUGUGUGUGUGUGUGUGGGGGGGGGGUGGUUCUUUUCUCUAAAAAGGCUUUCUUCUUUAUUAAAAAAUGAUGCAAAUAAGGACCAUUCUUCCCCAGGUCUUGGAUAUUGCUGUAUGAAGAGGAGAUGCUCAGACCUUUUCCAUCUGCCUUGCAGUCAUGAGGAGACAACUAUUGUAAAUGUUCCAUGAAUUUUAAUCUGCUGCAGCUGUCACUUGCAGUCGCGCCAUUUUAAACAGACUGUUUCAUCUGUGACUCCACAUUUUCACCAUCGCCAGCAAGAAGCUCUGAGCAGCCUGUGGUCAUCAUGGAUGGUAACAGUCACACAUAUCAGAGUUUGAAAGGAUGAAGCGUCUUUAAAGUGAAGGUCUGACUUGUCCGUCCUUGGAUAGAAGUAAUGCAAGCGUUCAUCUCUGG